rnacentral:tRNA from 1 species
GGGGCUGUAGCUCAGUGGUAGAGCACUCGCCUAGCAUGUGUGAGGCACUGGGUUCGAUGCUCAGCACCACA